GGGGAAUCUUGCACAAUGGAGGAAACUCUGAUGCAGCGAUGCCGCGUGAGUGAAGAAGGCCUUUGGGUUGUAAAGCUCUUUCGUCGGGGAAGAAAUGACUGUACCCGAUAAGAAG
rnacentral:rRNA from 1 species